rnacentral:rRNA from 1 species
UACGUAGGGAGCAAGCGUUGUCCGGAAUCAUUGGGCGUAAAGCGCGCGUAGGUGGCCACAUAAGUCCGUUGUGAAAGUCAAAGGCUCAACCUUUGAAAGCCGGUGGAUACUGUGGGACUAGAGUACGGAAGAGGCGAGUGGAAUUCCUGGUGUAGCGGUGGAAUGCGCAGAUAUCAGGAGGAACACCAAUAGCGAAGGCAGCUCGCUGGGACGUUUACUGACACUGAGGCGCGAAAGCGUGGGGAGCGAACAGG